AACGAACGCUGGCGGCGCGCCUAAUACAUGCAAGUCGAGCGAGAAGGUGUAGCAAUACACUUGUAAAGCGGCGAACGGGUGAGGAAUGCAUGGGUAACCUACCCUCGAGUGGGGAAUAACUAGCCGAAAGGUUAGCUAAUACCGCAUACGUUUCCGGAACUUCGGUUUCGGAAAGAAAGCAAUACCGUGGGUAUUGCGCUCAUGGAUGGGCUCAUGUCCUAUCAGCUUGUUGGUGAGGUAACGGCUCACCAAGGCUUCGACGGGUAGCUGGUCUGAGAGGACGAUCAGCCACACUGGCACUGCGACACGGGCCAGACUCCUACGGGAGGCAGCAGUAAGGAAUAUUGCGCAAUGGACGAAAGUACUGACGCAGCGACGCCGCGU
rnacentral:rRNA from 1 species